rnacentral:rRNA from 1 species
GAUGAACGCUGGCGGCGUGCCUAAUACAUGCAAGUCGAGCGAACGGACGAGAAGCUUGCUUCUCUGAUGUUAGCGGCGGACGGGUGAGUAACACGUGUAUAACCUACCUAUAAGACUGGGAUAACUUCGGGAAACCGGAGCUAAUACCGGAUAAUAUUUUGAACCGCAUGGUUCAAAAGUGAAAGACGGUCUUUCUGUCACUUAUAGAUGGAUCCGCGCUGCAUUAGCUAGUUGGUAAGUUAACGGCUUACCAAGGCAACGAUGCAUAGCCGACCUGAGAGGGUGAUAGGCCACACUGGAACUGGGACACGGUCAAGACUACUACGGGAGGGAGCAGUAGGGAAUCUUCCGCAAUGGGCGAAAGCCUGACGGAGCAACGCCGCGUGAGUGAUGAAGGUCUUCGGAUCGUAAAACUCUGUUAUUAGGGAAGAACAUAUGUGUAAGUAACUGUGCACAUCUUGACGGUACCUAAUCAGAAAGCCACGGCUAACUACGUG